rnacentral:lncRNA from 1 species
CACCCAUCUCCUUUGGAAGACUAAUAUCUAGGAAGUGCAAGCUGCAAAAUACAAGUGAGCUAUAAAUUGGAAAUGUAGACAUUUAUCAAUAUUUAUAUGCUGUAAUCACAUUAAGGAAAUACAGCUGAUAUAAUUGUCACAAAGCUGCAGGGAAAUUCAUGGACGAAUCCAUGAGACCUUGAGGCUCAUAGCAGAUGUAGCCAUGCCCAUGAAGCUUUCCAAUCAUCUAGAUGCAAUGCAAGGAGACAGCAGAGGGCCAAGCAAGAAUGCUGAGCUAGGCAGCUAGCUUCCAUGGCUGCCUAAGCUGAGGGUUUAAAUUAUUUGAAAAUUAGCUGUUUCCUUAUAAAGUUAUGCUUGGGGGAUAACAAUAAAGUCUAUCAAUGGAGACUCCCUAUCUCCAGCUUUGAUUUGUCAUUGAUAUGCUCUAUAUAAAGGAGGUUUAUCAUCUCCCUCUGAGUGUGCAAGUAAUAAUAAUGAAUUAAAAAGUUCAUAAUCUAG